CCUUGGCCAACUAAUCCAUCACAUGCAUUUAGGCAGGCUCCUUCCCGGACCAGUCUUUCUGUGCUUUGCAUUUGUUUUUACUUUUCAUUCUCUCAUCCCUUACCUGUGUAACUAGAUUUCCAAUCUCUCUUUCCUCCCAUCGUAGAACUGCCAGUCAGCCUAAGCACUCUAUUUUCUGGCUUUCCCCCAUAAACACCUUUGUUUACAUAGAACACAUAGUUUGACCUCCUGUCUACAGACAAACUGUCCCCAGUCCGCAGGUGUUGCAGAGCCAGCUCCAGAGUGAGAGAGGAAGCUCAUAUUUUUACCAAAUUGUGCUGCUGCUGGGCUUCCAUGACUGCCCUGCCCCAUAUGUCAGUCUCCUCAGCGAAACAUGAAACAGGGGACUCGAUGGUGGGAACAGCCUCCAAGAGUCACUGUCUUAUUGCUAUUGCAGCUGAGGGGAGGCAGAGUAAACCACAUCCUGAGACACAGCUGAAGAGAAAUUCAAGAUUGGAGCCUCAUGUGGCUGUGAUUUUCCUGACACACCUGGCUCUCCACUGUGUGACAAAGACAGCAAUGCAGCUGUCUUGAGGGGGUAGCAAAUUGCAGCAAAUGAUUUUGAUUUUCUGUUGAAAGAGCCAUGUGUGUGUGUGUGUGUGUGUGUGUGUGUGUGUGUGUGUGUGUUGAGGGGGACAAGGAGGUAGGAACAAGUGGAAGAUAGACUCCAAAGUCAAGGAGAAGGACAAAACCAAGAGCAAGGCUUGUCUUUCCUGAGGUUGAGAGGGAAGGAUGGGAGGGAAGUGAAGAACAGCAAUCCUUCUCCACUUGGAAUGGUCUAUAAACAGCUCCUGGGGGCUCAGUGGUGCCACUGCCUGCCUCACAAGCACAAAGACCCGAGUUCAAUCCCCAGUACCAAGGAGGGAAGGGUGGGAGGGAAGUGAAGAACAGCAAUCCUUCUCCACUUGGAAUGGUCUGUAAACAGCUCCUGGGGCUCAGUGGUGCCACUGCCUGCCUCACAAGCACAAAGACCCGAGUUCAAUCCCCAGUACCACAAAAAACAGAACAAAAAAGCCUCCUCCUUGGAUUUUCCCACUGUCUCCAACUGCCCUGUUGUCUAAUAGCAGCAAACCAGUGAGGUUUUCCUGGGGCUUAUUCAUUGAGUCAUGGCAAAGGUUGCCAGUAAAGGCUGAGAUAUUACCGAUUUGGUGUUCAUUCCUUUCUCUUUCCUUCAAUUAACUAGCCUUUGGUGGCCUAAAGUCAGUGAGAAGGGAGGGAGGGGAAGAUGAAAAACAUGAAAAAAGACAGAGC
rnacentral:lncRNA from 1 species